rnacentral:rRNA from 1 species
AGGACCUGCAUUUGAAACUGGAUGUCUAGAGUGCGGGAGAGGUAAGUGGAAUUCCUAGUGUAGCGGUGAAAUGCGUAGAGAUUAGGAAGAACACCAGUGGCGAAGGCGACUUACUGGACCGUAACUGACACUGAGGCACGAAAGCGUGGGUAGCAAACAGGAUUAGAUACCCUGGUAGUCCACGCCGUAAACGAUGAGUACUAGGUGUAGGGGGUAUCGACUCCCCCUGUGCCGCAGUUAACACAAUAAGUACUCCGCCUGGGAAGUACGAUCGCAAGAUUAAAACUCAAAGGAAUUGACGGGGGCCCGCACAAGCAGCGGAGCAUGUGGUUUAAUUCGAAGCAACGCGAAGAACCUUACCUAGACUUGACAUCCCCUGCAUUACUCGUAACUGAGGAAGUCCUUCGGGACAGGGAGACAGGUGGUGCAUGGUUGUCGUCAGCUCGUGUCGUGAGAUGUUAGGUUAAGUCCUGCAACGAGCGCAACCCUUAUCAUUAGUUGCUACCAUUCAGUUGAGCACUCUAGUGAGACUGCCCGGGUUAACCGGGAGGAAGGUGGGGAUGACGUCAAAUCAUCAUGCCCCUUAUGUCUAGGGCUACACACGUGCUACAAUGGUGAGUACAAAGAGAUGCAAUCCCGUGAGGGGGAGCCAAACUUAUAAAACUCAUCUCAGUUCGGAUUGUAGGCUGAAACUCGCCUACAUGAAGCUGGAGUUGCUAGUAAUCGCGAAUCAGCAUGUCGCGGUGAAUACGUUCCCGGGCCUUGUACACACCGCCCGUCACACCAUGAGAGCUGGCAACACCCGAAGUCCGUAGUCUAACCGUAAGGAGGACGCGGCCGAAGGUGGGGUUAGUGAUUGGGGUGAAGUCGUAACAAGGUAGCCG